GAUGAACGCUGGCGGCGUGCUUAACACAUGCAAGUCGAACGAAGCAUUUCCUUUUCUUCGGAAAAGGAAAUGACUGAGUGGCGGACGGGUGAGUAACGCGUGGGUAACCUGCCUCAUACAGGGGGAUAACAGCUGGAAACGGCUGCUAAUACCGCAUAAGCGCACAAUGCUGCAUGGCAUAGGGUGAAAAACUCUGGUGGUAUGAGAUGGACCCGCGUCUGAUUAGCUAGUUGGUAAGGUAAUGGCUUACCAAGGCGACGAUCAGUAGCCGACCUGAGAGGGUGACCGGCCACAUUGGGACUGAGACACGGCUCAAACUCCUACGGGAGGCAGCAGUGGGGAAUAUUGCACAAUGGGCGAAAGCCUGAUGCAGCGACGCCGCGUGAGCGAAGAAGUAUUUCGGUAUGUAAAGCUCUAUCAGCAGGGAAGAAAAAAAUGACGGUACCUGACUAAGAAGCACCGGCUAAAUACGUGCCAGCAGCCGCAGUAACAC
rnacentral:rRNA from 1 species